GCGUAGUCGAUGGAUAACCGGUGUAUAUUCCGGUACCCGCUAGUGAAGACGUCAAACAUCGAAUCCAGUGAUGCUAAGCCCGUCGAAGCCGUUCCGGACCCUUCGGGGAAAGGAAAGUAGGUGGAGCCGGUGACCCGAUCUGGUAGUAGGUGAGUGAUGGGGUGACGCAGGAAGGUAGUCCAGCCCGGGCGGUGGUUGUCCCGGGGUAAGGGUGUAGGCCGUGCGGUAGGUAAAUCCGUCGCACACAAGGCUGAGACCUGAUGCCGAGCCGAUUGUGGUGAAGUGGAUGAUCCUAUGCUGUCGAGAAAAGCCUCUAGCGAGUUUCAUGGCGGCCCGUACCCUAAACCGACUCAGGUGGUCAGGUAGAGAAUACCGAGGCGUUCGGGUGAACUAUGGUUAAGGAACUCGGCAAAAUGCCCCCG
rnacentral:ncRNA from 1 species